rnacentral:lncRNA from 8 species
UCAAAUAGCUAAAUGAUACUUGGUAUGACCAUCUUACAACAAUUCCAUAUGUUAGCUAAGUUAAACACAAAGAUUAGCCACUUAAACCUGCAAUAUGUACAUUUUUGGAUGACCUGACAAAAUUCACAUAGAAUUGUGAGUUAUAGACCAGUCAUUCUGAUUGAAAGCAAGUCUAAGUAGGGGUAGAUCUGUUCUAUGUGCACUUUUCCUUUGCCUCCCAUGCUUACCUUUUCUUUUUGCUUCUUUUACUUUCGGUUUCGUACACCAGCUUCAAACAACUGAUACAAUAUUUUUGGUAAUGGAAAAUAUAUUUUACAGCGGUUUAGGUGGUACAAUGAUUCUCCACACUAUACUUGCUUUUUUGUCACUUAAACUGAAAUUAGGCAAACUUUUAGAAUUUUAGUAGCCAGGAUAUGGCAGAGCAAUUUCUGCAUAGUGCAUCUUUAAGGAUUUUAAGGGAUGAUUCUGUUCUGAUGAUAUCCUUGGAAAUUAUACCUUAUUAUCGGGAAAAUGAAAUUAUCUUAACUGGUCAACCGUUGUACAGUUAAGUAACACAAGCCCGGACAAGACAAGAUGCAGACUACUUUUUGUCAAGGGAAUUUUCACUGUGUAUGCACUUUUAUUUGGCUCUGGUAUAACACUUCAUGUGACAGAUCGUGUAAAAAAACCCAAAGUGACGGUCUACUCAGUGUCCAAACCUGAGCCGAACAGGAAAACCACCCUGCUAUGUCUGGCUAGAGACAUGUUUCCAGACUUGGUCAAGAUUUCAUGGAAGGUGAUGGAUAAAAACGGCCGAACAAUGGAGGUGCCCAAAGCAGAGAUGGAAGAGCUGGAGCAGAGAGAGGAAGGGCGGACGACAAGUAUGAUCAUCAUUGAUAAAGAGAAGACGUACAGGAACAAAUACAUAUGUUCUGUGGAGCAUAAAUUGGGCACUCAAGAUGUUGACAUACCAAAAGAGGAACCAACUGAAGCUCCUCCAACCACCAUGGCUGCACCAACCACUCUGCACGUUACCUAUGAGGAACCAACUGAAGCUUCUCCAACCACCAUGGCUUCACCAACCACUCUGCAGGUUACCAACGGUAAAUAUUUAAGUGUAUUUCAUGCAGUUUUGGGGUCUAUUCAAAUAAUUAAAAGUUGGAAAAAAUAUAUAAAUGAACAGAUUUAGAUAUGGUGAAGUUGCAUUAUUCAGGAGUGUAAUAUGGUUAGAUGAGAAGUUGUUGAAAAGUGUGAUAAAAGUGAUUUAAUGUGAUAUUUAUGGUAAACUUGAGGUGUGGGGCAAGAAUGAUGCUUUGCAUGGCCAAAUCCAAAGGUAAGGGAAGAAUGUUUUGUAAAGAGAACAUUUUAAAUCUCGUGACCUGCGGAGAGAUGGCACUGUCUAAUGAAUCUAAAAACGUUGAAAUAUCAAGGAUUUGUGAGACCGCAUUCACGAUAAACGCUGAAUAUAUGUCGGCUUAAUUGUAAAUAGCCCGACAAAGUGCAAUCAGAACGAUUCAAUCCUUUGGCGGGUUCAAAUCGUGUUUGUCACAUGCGCCGAAUACAAUAGGUGUAGACUUUACAGUGAAAUUCUUACUGACAAGCCCUUAACAAACAAUGCAGUUUUAAGAAAAAAUACCUAAAAAGAUAAGAAAUAAAAGUAACAAAUAAGGGGGUACCGGGACCGAGUCAAUGUGCGGGGGCACCGGUUGGUUGAGGUAAUUGAGGUAAUAGGCAUAGCGGCUUUUAAAGGCAAUGUUCUGGUGAUCGCAGAGAUCCCAUCCAUGGUAAACGUUGCAUAUGUUCGGCUUGUUCGGAAAUGGCUUUAAAAACCGCCUUGCUUAUAACCCAUGAUCGGAUUGAACCUUGUCCUUAAAAAAAUGUACGAUCAAUAUUGUAUUGACAUUUUUUUAUACAGAAACAACAAAUACAAAUAGGACCCAGCAAACUCAUGAAAAAGAGAAGAGAAAAAAAGAAACAAGAUAACAGAAAACUGGACUAUAUUAUAAUAAAAUCACUGGCUAAUUUCCUGGCCUUACUCUUUUCUUUUCCCCAGAUUCAUUAAAGUCCAUAUGCAGUCUGAACUUGGCCUCUCUGGUUUACACAGUGAUGAUAGUGAAGAGCAUGGUGUACUGCUAUGGGCUCUCUUUCCUGCUGCACUACAGGAACAUGGGUUGUAGACCCAAAACCUGUAGACAAAUUCAUUGAAAGGAUAUCCCUAUAUAUUGUGUUUCCCUCCUUAAAAUGAAUAUCACAUAAUAUUUAGUUUUGAUGAUUGUGGGAGCCACCCACUACAGACACUUGAAUACAGUUCAGUUAAGGAGAGCAAAUCUUGAUGGUAGAAAUAUGAUUGAAAUAUUGACAGUUUUAUUAAAGUUGCCUUGUUGUAUGUCAUAGCGUCAAAUUACUUUUUUACAAAAUCUGUAUUUGAUUUUUACAAAAAUAUUUACCUAAUUAUCAUAUGUAUUUCUUUAAAUAUGUUGUUAUUAAAUAUAUGGCCCUUGAUUUCUAAACAUGUGUCAUUAUACAAAAUCAUUUUUAGUAACUUGUCAAGUGUGUAAUAAAGUGUAUUUUUUCUCAAGUAAUUAGAGUUAGUUUUCUGACAGUAUUUCAUAUCUUCAUUAAAUUUUCUCAUUCAUUUACCAUGAAUAAUAGAAAAUCUAGCUUUUUUUUGCUUUAAAAAACUAAAUGAUAAGUGCUUAUUGAGCCAGAAAAUUGAUCUAUGAGUGAAAUCAGUCAUUUGUGAUUUUUUACAAUGAUACAAUGCUGUUGUUGUUUAAUUUUUUACGUUGAUACAUAAAGCUUGUAUGAAAAGUGACAUUUCCUUGUGUAACACAGCCUUGUAGUGAGCAAAGUUUCUCAAAAUAACCAUAUCCUUUCAGAUGGGGAUGGUUUUAAUUAUUUCUGCCUUCAUGAAAGAAAAGUUAAAAAAACAUGGUUCUGCAAUGUAUUGUAUAGCCUACAUUUUGUACAGUUCCGUGCUAUUUUGAAUGAGGAAACUGUCACCAUAAUAAAAAAUUAAUGUUUCUUAAAACCCCCAAAACAUUGUAUUUCUUAUAAGAUCAUCUAUUCUUAUUUUAGAACAUUUUAAAUUAUUGAAUCACAUCAGAAGCGGAACAAUAAGAUCAUAAGAUCCCUUAUUCUCUGUUUUCAACCUGUUUGCUUAAAUGUGCAUGCUCUGACGCAGGUGUAGAGACUAUAGAC